rfam:Oryza brachyantha chromosome 4, whole genome shotgun sequence.
CUGCAUUAGUUGCAUCUUGCUGUAAAUAUGGGCAAACACUAAAGUUGAUGGGAAGUAAGUGAGUGUUCUUCAAGUCUAGAAUUCUCACAAAAGAACUGUCGCAUAGCA